rnacentral:rRNA from 1 species
GAUGAACGCUGGCGGCGUGCCUAAUACAUGCAAGUCGAACGAUGGAAAUCUAGCUUGCUUGAUUGAAGGAGUGGCGAACGGGUGAGUAAUACAUAAGCAACCUACCCACGAAGACUGGGAUAAUCUCUGGAAACGGGGACUAAUACCGGAUAGGUAAUCGGAAGGCAUCUUCUGAUUAUUAAAGGAUAAAAACACUGGUGGAUGGGCUUAUGGCGCAUUAGUUAGGUGGUGAGGUAACGGUCCACCAAGACGAUGAUGCGGAGCCGGACGGAGCGGGUGAACGGCCAGAAUUGGACUGAGACACGGCCCACAACCCGACGGGAGGGUGGAGUAGGGAAUGUUCGGCAAUGGGGGAAACCCUGACCGAGCAACGCCGCGUGAGUGAUGACUGCCUUCGUGUUGUAAAGCUAUGUUGUAAGAGAAGAACUGUAGAUAGAGAAGAUCUAAAUGACGGUACCUUACCAGAAAGCCACGGCUAACUACGUG